rnacentral:pre_miRNA from 1 species
UUUAUACUCCCUCCGUCCCAAAUUUUUUGUCUUAGAUUUGUCUAAAUAUGGAUGUAUCAAGUCACUUUUUAGUAUUAGAUACAUCUGUAUCAAGACAAAUCUAAGACACGAAUUUUGGGACGGAGGGAGUAUGAU